rnacentral:rRNA from 1 species
GGAGGAAGGCCCUCGGGUCGUAAACUGCUUUUAUCUGUGACGAUUUUGACGGUAGCAGAAGAAUAAGGAUCGGCUAACUCCGUGCCAGCAGCCGCGGUCAUACGGAGGAUCCAAGCGUUAUCCGGAAUUACUGGGCGUAAAGAGUUGCGUAGGUGGCAAGCUAAGUUUUCGCUUAAAGUCCAAGGCUCAACCUUGGUAAGCGCGAGAAAACUGGCUAGCUAGAGCAUGGGAGAGGUAGAUGGAAUUUCUAGUGUAGGAGUGAAAUCCGUAGAUAUUAGAAGGAACACCGAUGGCGUAGGCAGUCUACUGGCCCACUUGCUGACACUAAGGCACGAAAGCGUGGGGAGCGAACGGGAUUAGAUACCCCCGUAGUCC